rnacentral:rRNA from 1 species
AUUGAACGCUGGCGGCAGGCUUAACACAUGCAAGUCGAGCGGGGGAAGGUAGCUUGCUACCGGACCUAGCGGCGGACGGGUGAGUAAUGCUUAGGAAUCUGCCUAUUAGUGGGGGACAACAUCUCGAAAGGGAUGCUAAUACCGCAUACGUCCUACGGGAGAAAGCAGGGGAUCUUCGGACCUUGCGCUAAUAGAUGAGCCUAAGUCGGAUUAGCUAGUUGGUGGGGUAAAGGCCUACCAAGGCGACGAUCUGUAGCGGGUCUGAGAGGAUGAUCCGCCGAACUGGGACUGGGACCCGGCCCAGACUCCUACGGGAGGCAGCAGUGGGGAAUAUUGGACAAUGGGGGGAACCCUGAUCCAGCCAUGCCGCGUGUGUGAAGAAGGCCUUAUGGUUGUAAAGCACUUUAAGCGAGGAGGAGGCUACUCUAGUUAAUACCUAGGGAUAGUGGACGUUACUCGCAGAAUAAGCACCGGCUAACUCUGUGCCAGCCGCCGCCGUAA